CAACACAUAUGCGCAGAUUAAAGAAAACAUAUUUCUCGACAUAUUUAGGUGUACGUUUUUUGCGUACUGGCAGUGAAAUCUUAAAAUGAAUUUCGUUGUGAUGUUGUUGAACAUGCUUGUUUUCGUGAUCUUCAUUAUAAGCUGUAUUAACGGACUGGAUUAUGCGUCCUUUGACAAAACAGCCCAUGCCUACUGCGCAAGUCAUUCAUCUGGUCACGUGUUUGUAUUGAGGAGGGAUUGUGAGAAAACCACAAAGGACUGCAAAGCAAUUUGUACAGAAGCAAAAGAUGCAAUAAUUGGCACGAUUUACCAUAAGAAAGACACAGUGGUCUGCUUUGAUGCUUACAAAGUUUACACAGACCAAUACAAUUCCAGUGAUGUGAUGCAGACAACUGGUUUAGUGGGCUUCCAUACCUAUGGGUUUGGUCCAAGAGGAUGCACAGGAUCACCAAAUCACUGUGGACCUAACUACUGUUGUUGUGUGGCAUAUUAGAGGAAUUUUUGAAAUUUCUUCUGCAAUAAAUCCUUAAAUUUGUUAUACAAAUAAAACAAGCUAUACCA